rnacentral:snoRNA from 10 species
AUCCUUUUGUAGUUCAUAAGUGUGAUGACUGUGAUUUCAUGCUCAUGUGUGAGAUGGGUGGGCCUCCCUCAAACUUUGUUACGAUGUUGGCCCAUUACCCAUCUGACG